CACAGCGCUCUCGAGUUCACAGCUCUUACCGAGAAACGGCACUGCUGGAGCGUCUGGGAUGAAUCAAUACGGAAGACAGAGAGGACAGACCACCUGACUCCACUACCAGCAGUGAGUGCACGUGCCCUAAAACAAACAAACAGAAGAGUGCCCUGAGAGGCAUGAGCCCAAUGUGCUUCUCGAAGCAGUGUUUGGUUCCCAGAUGUCACGUACUACGCUACUCCACAGUGCCCCUGAUGCCUCUCUCUUUGGAAAGCAUCUGAAAUGAGGACUCCUGUCACAAAGCCAGCCCUCCCUGGUCAGCCUGGGUCCCAAUCAGACGUCCCUCUGGGGAGGGAGAAAGAAGGAAAGAGGCGACACGGAGGUGGCAUCUCUGCUUGGGCCUGGUCAAGGCGCGGGGCUUCCGGAAUCCCAGCCCACAUGGGCGUCCAACUGGAUUCUCAGGUGUCACU